GAGUUGUUGUCAGUAUAUGCAACUAAGCCUAGCAGUAAACUUGUGAGUUUGUUUAUAUAUUUGUGGGUAAUUUUUCGUGAAAAUAAAGUCUUCCAGAGAAAUUAGAAAAUCUUUUAGCAUUCAUGGUUCAAAUUCGAUGUUAAUCCCUUAACAAAACAUGAAGACUGGACUUACACUGGAGGUUAUUGGGAGCGAAGCUAUGAAACUACAUCCCAAAUUUUUUAACGAAAUGUGUAAACAUGUGUACUAGUACUUGUGUAAAACUGUUACUAAUGAGUAAUGCUUAUUUAGUUUAAAAUAAAUUAAAGGGUGUUUCAAAGAAGUGUGGAUGGCUUAAUUUGAAAA